rnacentral:rRNA from 1 species
AUGAACGCUGGCGGCGUGCCUAAUACAUGCAAGUCGAGCGAACGGACGAGAAGCUUGCUUUUCUGAUGUUAGCGGCGGACGGGUGAGUAACACGUGGAUAACCUACCUAUAAGACUGGGAUAACUUCGGGAAACCGGAGCUAAUAUCGGAUAAUAUUUUGAACCGCAUGGUUCAAAAGUGAAAGACGGUCUUGCUGUCUCUUAUAGAUGGAUCCGCGCUGCAUUAGCUAGUUGGUAAGGUAACGGCUUACCAAGGCAACGAUGCAUAGCCGACCUGAGAGGGUGAUCGGCCACACUGGAACUGAGACACGGUCCAGACUCCUACGGGAGGCAGCAGUAGGGAAUCUUCCGCAAUGGGCGAAAGCCUGACGGAGCAACGCCGCGUGAGUGAUGAAGGUCUUCGGAUCGUAAAACUCUGUUAUUAGGGAAGAACAUAUGUGUAAGUAACUGUGCACAUCUUGACGGUACCUAAUCAGAAAGCCACGGCUAACUACGUG